GGGGGUGUAGCUCAGUGGUAGAGUGCUUGCCUAGCAUGCAUGAGGCCCUGGAUUCUAUCCCCA
rnacentral:tRNA from 1 species